AAUAAAUAGACACACACACAGACCACCCACAUUGAGAAUCACCACGUGCAUUGAGACACACACAACUAUGCAAAGCUGUAUCCAUAGUUGCCAUCUUGGCCAAGCCAAACUGUAAAUUCAGCUUACUAUUAGAAUGCGGAUAGCUGUCUGGUAAUGUUACAUGCUGCAAUGAAAGUGAACUAUUCAACAAUGAAUCCCAUUCAUACUCCCAAAUAAUUAGUGAACUUGUUUCCUCUGGUAGCAUGUGAAUUCUAC